ensembl:lincRNA
GACUAUACUCCAGUGACUAUACACACACACACACAAAUGGAGAGGAGAGGCCACAAUGGUGGGGGACAAGAUGGGUGAAACCUGGGAGGACUGGGAAGUAAGGAUGAUCAGGGUAUGUGAAAUUCCCAAUGAAAAUUUAUGUUUUAAAAGUGGAAACAAAUAAAAAUGAAGUGCAAGAAACAAAUGAAAAAAAAGUUUUCCCCACUAACAACACCUCUAUGUGUUUCCUAUAAUGUAGGAAGAAUUUCCUAUAAUGUAAUAAAAAAAUCGAGGCCAGGUUAUACACAUAUGCAUACAUAUAAACAUACAUAUAUAUAUGAUAUUUGAUUCUCAUUUUUUUCACCUUUGAAUAAGAAUUUGUUAAUUAUAUAAAAUAAUGAGUUCCUUAUGAUGUGGUCAUGGGUGCACACAACAUGUUCUGACGACACUUACUAUCACCCUGGCUUCUUUGCCCCCCCCCAUUUCUCUUCACAAAUAGCCCAUCUUCUACUGUGGUUAAAAGAGGUUUGUUUUGUUUGUGGUUUUGAAGGACGAUCCAAAAAAAGUGGACUCCUGGCUUNAUCCAAAAAAAGUGGACUCCUGGCUUGGUCUCUGGCAUAGAGCUCAAGCAGACAGCAUCCUAGGGAAAGAAGCAUGUGAGAAGGGAAGAACACAUAGCAAGACAGGAAACUAGAGCCAGGAGGGGAAGCGGAAGAAAGGACCUCCUACCAGGUCCCACCCACUACCUCCAUCUCUCACCCCAUAGCAUGAAUACCUGAGAAUCAAGGGUGCAAAUUAGGCAUAUCCAAGCAUAUCCGAUUUUCUUUGACACUGCAACAGGACAGUGUUGUUCAAAAGUUCAAACUUCAGGCUGCAUAAUAUGUUACAAAAAAANNNNNNNNNNNNNNNNNNNNNNNNNNNNNNNNNNNNGAUGUGCUGUAAGGUCUCGGACCUGUAUUUAUUCACCCAUGUUGACUCCACAGGAUCCACAACAGGCUAAUGGCAGAAGCAGCAAGUGGGCUUACACACUGAGUGGCCUGAGCAGAGUGCAGGGCAUUCUUUACCCUUAAGAAGGAAGAAACUUUUAGCGUUGGUCUCUAGUAUGCNNNNNNNNNNNNNNNNNNNUGCAGGGUUGCAUGAACCAUUAACAGCUCUGGCCCCUAUCAACCAGCAGUGGAAGCACAGGCUAUCUGGGGUCCUGCUGGCUGCCUGCUCACUACAAGGUGGAUUUUAGCAAAGUCAUGGGGAGGCUUGACCACUAGGGGACAGCACUGAGCUCCUGGCUCAUAGGGGACCUUGGUCAGCCAGCCCAGAAACACAAUGGCCACCAUAGCCAGGAAGGCUUGUCCNNNNNNNNNNNNNNNNNNNNNNNNNNNNNNNNNNNNNNNNNGUGUCCUGGUGCUUUAGAGGGGUUCAGGAUUUUAUAGAAGCCCACAGUUGAGAGGCGUUAGACUUUUAAAGAGAUAGCAGACUUUUAUGUAGAACUUAGACCCUUAAAGUGCUAAAUAAAUAAAUAAAUAAAUAAAUAAAUAAAUAAAUAAAUAAAACAAAACAAAAAUAAAAACAAAAAAAUUAAGACUGUGGGGCUUUUAAAGUUAUACUAUGUUUUGUAUUGUGGUAUUAAUCAUUACAUUACUUUACAUCUUGGAGACAAACAAGAAAGGACAAUGGCUUAUUAAUGUUGUGUUUAUGUAUCAAGUUGACAAGGGGUUAAUUUUGCUGGUCAAUUUUUUUGUCACCUUAACACAAGCUUGGAUUAGCUGGGNUAUCAAUUGAGAAAAUUCCUCCAUUAGAAUGGGCUGUAGGCCUGCCUGCCAGGGUACUUUCUCGAUUGGUAAUAAAUGGGAUGGCGGCGGGGUAGACUAGCAUAUUGGGUAAGGUUUUACCCCAGGGCUGCUGAUCAUGGAAAGUAUAAGAAAGCACACUGAGAAGAAAGUCAUGUGCAGCGAGACUGAAAGCAGCUUCUGCCAGGGCCUCCUUUCUCCUGAGUUCCUGCCUCACUGUUCCUACCCUCAGUUCCCUCAGUGAUGGAGUGUGAUUAAGACAUGUAAGCAAAUGAACCCUUUCCUGCCCCAACUUGUAUUUGGUCCUGGUGUUUUAUCUGCCCUAUAGAAAGCAAACUAAGUCAAGGAAGGUUCAGGAAAUGACAACAAAUAUNNNNNNNNNNNNNNNAAGAGGAGGAGGAGGAAGAGAAGGAAAUAGAGAUUCCAGAGUGGCCACAGCAGCAAUGGGGGAGAAAGAAAAUGUGGUAGAUGAAAGAGGUCACAUCUCGCUAAGCGAAUAGGGCUGACGCCAGAGCACAAAUCCGCGGGUCCGGUUGUGUGCAGGUUGUGGAGCAGCGGGGAUGUGGGAGUGCAGAUGUCUUUAGUUGGGUGUUCACUGUGAGCCCACACAGUGAGGCCUGAAGUUGAUGUCAAAAACAUCACCAGGCAGAAGAGAGAGAGUGCAGAGCAGCCAGAGAAAAGUGUGGCUCUGUGCCUGUGAACGUCUGUGCAGAAUUGAAACUUUCAGUUCAGUUCAUUGAAAUUCAAGGGGUUUCAGAGAAUUUCAGAGCAGGUAAAUUGAUAAGGUUGGACGCUGAGAAUUAAAUCUGAAUUAAAGUUUUAUCGGUGAGGAAUAGAUUCUUUUUUGUUUGUUUGUUUUCGUUUUUUGUUUUGUUUAACAUAGUGGUUUUUUGUACUUAGCGAUAGUCUGUGUGCCCGGCUAUGGUAUCAGAUAAAAAAAGAAAAGGUGAGCUGUGAACCAGCUCUCUCAGGGCCUUAGCCUUUAAAGGAUGAGCCAUCCCUCCAGCCCGGCCCCGCCUCCUAUUCUUUCUCUAAGUGGCAACCUGGGCUUUGUGUAACCACUUCUCCGUUGAGUGCAUUCUUGUUCUCAAUACUAAACAACUCUCAUUUGUUUUCCUUGUGCACAAAACCAAAC